rnacentral:rRNA from 1 species
AUAACCUGCCUCAUACAGGGGGAUAACAGUUAGAAAUGACUGCUAAUACCGCAUAAGCGCACAGAGAUGCAUGUCUCGGUGUGAAAAGCUGAGGCGGUAUGAGAUGGAUCCGCGCUGAUUAGCUGGUUGGCGGGGUAGAGGCCCACCAAGGCGACGAUCAGUAGCCGACCUGAGAGGGUGGCCGGCCACAUUGGGACUGAGACACGGCCCAAACUCCUACGGAAGGCAGCAG